UGGUGAUAAUUUGUUUUGAAAUUACUUGUUUUAUUCCUUCAAGAACUCCCAAUCCCCUCUUGUUGAUUUUUUAAAAUUAUUAUUUUUUUUAUUAUUUUUAGGGUUAUUAUUUUUAGGGCUACCAGUUCAUUUUGAAUAUUUUCUGUUCAAAAUAGCUGGACUGGGUCACAGGCUUUGGUAGCCCAUAUGGUUAUGAAACCUUCCCUUGUUUCUGGGGAUUUGCUCUAUCUGCACACCUGCACUUCAGCAGAUCGAAGGAUAUUUAGGGAACACCAAGUGCUUCCAGCUGAGCAUCAAGCAAAUUUCAAGUUGCAGUGAGUGGUCUUGGGGGUCUCACCAGGUGGCUCAUCCUGAUUUCCAGCAGACAACUUCUAUCCAACCUGCCUGAGGACCACAGAGAAGAAAAGCCCCCUCCCGCUGGGCCUACCUGCUUCUGAUGGGGCCGUUCCUGUUGCUCAGGACCUGUGAGGGUGCUGCUCUCUUCCCAGCUGGGAGUGCAGAGGACUGAGAACAGGAGGGCUGGGAGAUAUCAGCUGUUUCUUAGCCUACAGAGAGCCAACCUGGCAUUAACUUGCACCUUUACACAGCUGAAUUAACUCCUGCCGUCUGGAGAGCUGGGUAGGAGCAAGCACCAGGAGGACCUGGACUUCUGCUGGAGGCAAUUACAAAUCACAUCCCUGGAGCACUCUGUAGUGACAAGCACACGUAUGGCCUUGCCAUGGGCACUGCCUGCACCUGGGGAGGAUGAAGAGGUGAGGAAGGCUGCAGUGUGGAGUAAGUUUUGGGGUUGUGCUCAGGCCAGGUGCUGGUGUGCUUCUGCACCAGCUCACCUGCUGCACGGGUCAGAAACCCUACUAGUGAGGCAGGAACAUGCUCUUCUCCCUUGUAAUUAGGCACUGGAUAUGUCAACCGUGUUUUAAUGAAGUUGGGACAGCAUCCAAAUCUAAAACAGGCAGGGAAGAAAAUAUCCUGUGAUGUGGCAUUAUGCUGGUGGAAAAUACCUGGGGAAACUUGGAUCCAUCACCUGCAGCAUGAUGGAUCACCAGCCACAUCCGUACAGUUUGAGCUGAGUAUGACUUGGAAACCCAGAGAUCAGCAAUUCCUCUGGUACAGCCAGAAAUCUUUUAAAAGUCCCCAGGCGCUCUUCAAUGUUCCUUUUGUGGCUCCCACGUACAACCCUCCAUGCAGGCAUUCACGCAGCAGGUGAGAGAUGCUGCUCGGGGCUCCAGCUGGCCCCCUUCCCACCACAGCCCCGCGCAGCCUAACGCUUAACCAAGUGCCAAGGCUGGCAUGAAAGGAGCCUUUCAAAGGAAACAGACCAACCCAGUAAUUUCAGACAGGAGGCUAAAAUAAAUUGUAAGUUGGCAGAGCUCUUGGCACUUCUGAGUGCCCUGUAUUUACAGGCUCUUCCUCCGCUAGCCAUGUCCCAGUAUUUUUAAUUAUCUGUUUUGUUGGUCCCUGCCUCUGCUCACUAGCAAUACCUAAGGGACUCUGAGAUGGAGGCGGUGGGAGGUAAAGAUGAUGUAAAAGCGAUUCAACGCAGUCAGGCAGUGCUCUACAGGCCCUAAAAUACCCAAAUGAACUCAGCUGGAGACAGGGCACUCAUCCCUGCACAGACCCGAGCCCAAGCCCCUACAGGGACAGCCCGGAGCACCCUGCGUUGUCGAAGGGUGCUCUGCUCCCCCAUGCAACAGCUGUUCCUGGCAAGCAGAGGGGAACAAGUGAAUAAACAUCUGAGAAAGGUUUUAGAGUUUGGACCGGAGAUUUGCAGUUAAUGUUUAGUAGCCUGCCCUUUUGUGUUCUGCUGCAAGCUGAAUUCAUGACUUGGAAAUGGCUUCGUCGGCUCCUGUUUGAGUUGUGUGGUUGUAUCCUCACCUGCUGCCUUUGAAGACAGAGCAUUUGUCAUGAUUUCUUAUUGCCUUCUGUCACACCACCACAGGUCUAAGCUGUUAUUGGGAAACUUUAAGAAGGUAUUUUGCAAACUAAAAGCCAUGUUAACAGAAAGGGAAAAAAAAGUAUCUUACUUUUGCAAAUAAUUACACAGCUUUAUUAUUCAGUAUCACAGUCUCAGGAAAUGAAACAGUCCAGAUCCCUUCCAAGACAUUACACAGCCUUUUUCCAUCUCUCUGGCCACAAAAUAAUCAAAUUAAAUACAAAUCGUUGUUUUGCUACAUCUAUUAAAUUGGAAGAACACAAUUAUUGGUAGAACCAGCUAAGCUCCAGGAGCUAGGGGUGGAAUGAAGCACUGCCUUCGCCUUCUCUUGCAUAACCCACGGGGGGCACAGCCAACAGGACACACCAAACAAGUCUCCAACUCGCAGCAAGGAAAAGAACCCAAUUCAGCGUUCCCAGAAAAGCACACGGAGGGACAGAAGGAUGCAGUCAAUAACAAAAUACAAUGGUUUAUUGAACAAAACGGGGCAAGGCAAUGUUCCCUUUACAUUCAACGAAUUCAGGAGUAUGAAGCAAAACAUGCUAUACACACACGGACACAAUACUUUGGUUAAAUGUCAUUCAGAAGUUCUAUGCCAAACCUGGUUAAAUUAGAGUGAACAGUCAAAAAUAAGAAAGAAGAGGCUUGCAUAGACAGAUUAUUGUCAGUGCAUGAUUUAUAUAUUUAAGAAUUAGCUGUUGCAACACAGGAUACACUUUGCAGCUCUGAGGAAUUUAAACCAAUCCACUAAUCUAUCUCCUCGUAUGGCUAACAUUUAGAUUCAACAGGCUGAAAGCUUACCCUGAAGAGCUAAACUAGACAACCGCAGUCUCUCUGAGGCAGUUAGCUAUAUUGCAGUACGCAGAUGCAGCUGGAGACACACUGUGGAGUCUACUUAAGAGUGAACACUGAUACAGUGAAACUUGUUUGCUGUGAAAUAGGAAAUACUUGCUUGUGUGUGCCGUUGUCCUCUCCGGGACCCUCCUGUGAAGAGCAUCAACUGCACAGCUUAAGCCUUGCCCUGCGCUACCCAAGAGGAGGCAGCAGCAGCUGAUAUUUCCAGCCCAGAGGCUGAGGGCAGUGCAGCUUCUCAACACAAAACGUGUGUAGUGCAGCCUGUCUGAGGCAUGGCAGUCCAAGUGGCAUGUGUGCAGCACAGCUCAACCCUCCACGACAGCCCUGCACGGCCAGAAGUGUGUUAUGGCACAUUUCAGAGUACAGAUAACUGGAGUCUCUGUAGGUUUAUAUGCCUGUCCUUCACAAGAAGAGACAAGCAGCCUGUGGUGUGUGUUAUGUGAGGGGCACUGCUGUGCCUCAGUGCUGUAUCCCACACCCACCUCCCAAAGCAACUGCAAAACUAAGCAUUGAGAGAGAGUGGGGCAGAACCAGAACAGUCCCUCUGCUGGGGACGGAUAUAGGGCAGCCUUAAAGUCAUCCCCAAAUGGGAACUGCUGCUGCAGCAGCUGCCUCCUUGGGCAUCACCGCCACAAAGAGAACAGCAGAGAACUUGGUCGCCUGUCAGUCCCUGCUCUGAGCUGCGCUUUGUUUCCUACUACACCUGAACACAGCCUUGCAGCAACAGUGCUGCCAUGAGGAAUAGCAGGAGCAGUCUGAUUCAGCUGGCAGAUGCCCAGGAGAAUUACUUCUUGCAGAGAAUAUGAGUUUUAUGGACUGGCUGCACUAUAUUGCAGGAGUGUAAACUAAGUAGGGGAAUCCUCACACUGUCUCCAAAGUGCUCCCCUUGUAUAUAAAUUAGCAAUCCACAGUUAGUUUGCAUACAGGUUAACAUGAAGUAAAAUAAAAACCUUGAUAAUAAAAAAUAUAUAAUAUACACAUUGAUCAAUAAACUGAACGGAUACCCUCUAAUGUAACAGUGGCUGUAGUUUGGCACAAAA